rnacentral:rRNA from 1 species
AAGGAUCAUUAAUGAGUUCGAGGGCACAGCGAAUGAGCUAUGCUCUCAGCGGUGGGUGUCGUCUGGGUCUAUAUGGGCCAGGCUGCGCUCGUCGUGUCUCUCAACCCCAUGUUUACCUUACCUUUGUUGCUUUGGCGGGCCUUGAGUAGGCUAUACGGCUCAUGCCGACCCCGGGCGUUUCCUGCCCGGGGGCGGCUCGCGCCCGCCAGAGGUCCAUUCAAAACCCUUCAUUAUCAGUGAUGUCUGAGACAAAUAUUAAAUAAUCAAAACUUUCAACAACGGAUCUCUUGGUUCUGGCAUCGAUGAAGAACGCAGCGAAAUGCGAUAAGUAAUGUGAAUUGCAGAAUUCAGUGAAUCAUCGAAUCUUUGAACGCACAUUGCGCCCCUCGGUAUUCCGGGGGGCAUGCCUGUUCGAGCGUCAUUACACCCCUCAAGCGUAGCUUGGUAUUGGGCGUUCGCGGGCCCCUUUAUAGGGAGGGGGCCCGCGUGUCCGAAAAGCAGUGGCGGUCCCCGGGGAUUUCGCGCGUAGUAAAUAUUAUCCCGCGUUGGAAAGAACCGAUGGGCCCUGCCAAAACACCCCAUU